UGUGGGGCUGUGUUCUGCCUCCCCUGAAGGCUCUGUUGUCACUCUGGGCACUCCAUCGGAAGCAGACACUCAACCUCACA
ensembl:miRNA Mir3110 microRNA 3110